rnacentral:lncRNA from 1 species
GGGACAAAGGACACCUGGAUGGCCCAAUGCCCCCCAGGGGUAGAGGGCAUCCUUUGAAUCUGCCAGUCACUGAAUGCCCUUCUGGAAUUCCAGGACUGACAGACAGUGCUGGGAAGGGGAAAGGAGAGGUGACUGACACACCUGGGAGGGAAUUAUCAGGGAGGGAUCCGAGGUUUUGAUGUAAACCCUGAAAUCACAACAUUUCAUGAAGUGUGCCAUGGUUUCCUUCUCAGGAAGGAGCGGAGGUGACAAUGAUUUCACUGUAACCUCCAUGCCUCCCUGCCCUGCAGGUGCAUUGGCUCCAUCCAGUACCUGAAGAACAAGUUUGGCAGAGGAUAUCUCCUGGAAAUCAAGGCCAAGGAUGCAGAGAGCUCUGAUGCUCUGCACGCUGAGGUUCUGAAGAUUUUCCCGGGUGCAGCCCGCCAGGAGAGGUAACUGCAAAAUGUGGGAUGAGGAGGGGAUUCAACACUGCCUCAUCCCUGAGAACAUCCCUGGUGGGAUGGCCAGACACAGCUGGAGAGGGAUGAACAGCUCCCUGGUUUAUAAUGUCACCACAUCCUGCCCUCCUGUGGUCCCAGCAGCAGGGCACCCAUGAAGGUUUGACCCCAGAACCCCAAUACAGAGCAAGAAUCACCUUUUCUUCUGUUUCCUCAAGGUUCCCCUCUUUGCUUGUCUACAAGAUCCCAAUGAGAGAUGCCCUGCCCCUGUCCCAGGCCUUCUCCAAGCUGGAGGAAGCCAAACGAAGCUGCGGCCUCGAGGAGUACAGCUUCUCCUUGAAUACUCUGUCUCAGGCAGGUGAAUUUUAUUUGUGCUGCAAAGGCAGGAGCAGGGACCAAAGCUGCAGUCAAACCCAGGCUGGUGCAGUAGCCAAAAGGCAGCUCCACCAAACAACUGCCUGAGGGUGGUGGGUGAGGAGUUCUCUACUGGCAAAAUGGUGGGAAAUGGUUUGGGUUUUUUACUGCUGAGAUUUUUCAUGGUUGGAACAAGUCUAGAUGAAGUCUCAGACCCCACUUGGUCAAGAUAAGCACACAGCACACCCAAGGAGGGAGCUGUCCAUGCCCAGCCCCUCUGGGUGCCCUGGAAACAACAGAUUAUUUAUUGCUGCUAGUACAAGGCUGGUGGAAAAGAUGAGGAAUGUUGAAGUCAAUGCAUUGGUGGGGAAAACCUGUAUGGAAAUACCUAAAGGCAGGGGAUCUUGUCUGGUUACUCCAGAGAGAAGGGAGGCUCAG